UACGUAGGGGGCAAGCGUUGUCCGGAAUUAUUGGGCGUAAAGAGCGUGUAGGCGGCCAUGUAGGUCCGGUGUGAAAACUCGAGGCUUAACCUCGAGAUGUCAUCGGAAACCAUUUGGCUAGAGUCCGGAAGAGGAGAGUGGAAUUCCUGGUGUAGCGGUGAAAUGCGCAGAUAUCAGGAAGAACACCUAUGGCGAAGGCAGCUCUCUGGGACGGUACUGACGCUGAGACGCGAAAGCGUGGGGAGCGAACAGG
rnacentral:rRNA from 1 species